GAUGAACGCUGGCGGCGUGCUUAACACAUGCAAGUCGAACGGUGAACGAGGGAGCUUGCUCCCUCCGGAUCAGUGGCGAACGGGUGAGUAACACGUGAGCAAUCUGCCCUGGACUCUGGGAUAAGCGUUGGAAACGACGUCUAAUACCGGAUACGAGACGCGAAGGCAUCUUCAGCGUCUGGAAAGAACUUCGGUCCAGGAUGAGCUCGCGGCCUAUCAGGUAGUUGGUGAGGUAAUGGCUCACCAAGCCUACGACGGGUAGCCGGCCUGAGAGGGUGACCGGCCACACUGGGACUGAGACACGGCCCAGACUCCUACGGGAGGCAGCAGUGGGGAAUAUCGCACAAUGGGCGCAAGCCUGAUGCAGUAACGCCGCGUGAGGGACGACGGCCUUCGGGUUGUAAACCUCUUUUAGCAGGGAAGAAGCGAAAGUGACGGUACCUGCAGAAAAAGCACCGGCUAACUACGUGCCAGCCGCCGCGGUAAAAC
rnacentral:rRNA from 1 species